CAGUAGCCGCGGUAAUACGGAGGGUGCAAGCGUUAAUCGGAAUUACUGGGCGUAAAGCGCACGCAGGCGGUCUGUCAAGUCAGAUGUGAAAUCCCCGGGCUUAACCUGGGAACUGCAUUUGAAACUGGCAGGCUAGAGUCUUGUAGAGGGGGGUAGAAUUCCAGGUGUAGCGGUGAAAUGCGUAGAGAUCUGGAGGAAUACCGGUGGCGAAGGCGGCCCCCUGGACAAAGACUGACGCUCAGGUGCGAAAGCGUGGGGAGCAAACAGGAUUAGAGACCCGCGUAGUCCCUGUCUCUUAUAC
rnacentral:rRNA from 1 species